rnacentral:rRNA from 1 species
UACGUAGGGGGCAAGCGUUGUCCGGAAUCAUUGGGCGUAAAGAGCGUGUAGGCGGUUUCGUAAGUCCGACGUGAAAGUCCAGGGCUCAACCCUGGAAUGCCGCUGGAUACUGCGGAACUAGAGUCCGGAAGGGGCGAGUGGAAUUCCUGGUGUAGCGGUGAAAUGCGCAGAUAUCAGGAAGAACACCAACGGCGAAGGCAGCUCGCUGGGGCGGAACUGACGCUAAGGCGCGAAAGCGUGGGGAGCGAACAGG